UGCACGAGAUACCUGUUGUGCCAAGACUCCAUGGGGAAGUGACCAGGUUGGGAUGAAUUUGAGCUGCAGUACUACAACUGUGAUCCUAAACCGGCUCUGUGGCAGAAAUGGAGGAAAGCAGAUAGGACCAGUACAUGAGCCAUGUCAGAAGAGGGGUGGUAUCAAGAUUGAGAGAAGCAUUAGAGAAGAAACCUGAAGGAUGAAAACAGUUAUACAGAUAAGAUGGAGAGUUUCUUGAAGUUCCAUUUGGAGUCUCAUGGACUACUGAUUGUAUCAAGGAGAAUCCUGAGCAAAAUUUGGGAGUGGAUGAAACUGAGAAUACUGAGAUUAGAGUAUUCUCAGUUUCAUCCGCUUCCAGAUUCAGUUCACAUCGCUGAUAUAUUGCAUGCAAAGAGAGAAAACAUCAUUGGCAUAAAUUGUGGGUUUUCUGGAAAUUAUCAUGUAAGUAAUUUUCCAGUAUUCUUGUACUAUUCCACUUGACUUGGAUUACCACCUAUUAUUUGCUGACUUUUGUGAGUAGAAUAUGAACAGGUCUUGUAACCUACUUCCAGUGACCCCCUCUUGAUAAACUAAAGGUAUAGGGCAUAUGUUGAUACUUUACACAUUGUGAGGCUCCCUCCCUGUAAUUGGAUUAAGACUGCUUCUUGAAUACCGGGUUGCUGUCAUAUUCACUUGGCAUUGGAUUCCCAGUUUUGACUGCACUGUUGGGUAGUUCCACUUCCUAGGUGUGCAUAUCAAAGGAAUGAGGUCUGUAACCAUGUGCCAAAGUAACAUAUGCCCUAUCAAACACCUACUCCCACUACUCCAUAUAAUUAAGUCAGAAAAAUGUCAAGUAAUGUGUCUCGAAACUGGAAACAGUUUCUCAUUAGAAAUUAAAUUUAUUAUACUUUCUCUGCAAAGAAAAUGUCCCUGUGAUGGCUAAAGUUCAAUCACAACACAUUAACAUUGACACAGUUUCAUAAGAUUAUUCAAAUUGGCCAUUUCUUUUAGAUUCAGCUUCAUUGCCAUAAAAGUAUCCUACAGUUUCUCAUUUCAUGCAAAACGAACAAGAAUUGGUGAUUUUCGAUGGUGGCAGUUACUUUCCACACUUACCUUAUCUCACUCUCCUGAGACCUUCAAGCUAACUACACCAGUUACCUACUGCUGAAUGACUGACUGCCACGCACCAUAUUGGCAGGUGCCAAAACUGCUCCUGUACUCAGAUGAUGGGAGUAUUGCUGUGCAACCUGUGGGCUCCAGUUGGACAAACGUGAGCCUGGGCAAGAUCAGAUACUGUAUCAGUAUCUGUACAUCCCCCAACCAAACAUUUUCCAAAAUGCUCAUUCCUCACAUUUUGGAAAAGAAAAAAUAAUCCCACAGGUAACCUUAAAAUUUCACCAAAAAGGACUCAAAGCCAAAUAUUCCAGUAGAACAAUAAAAAAUAUUUUGAUGAAGUAUGUGAAUAGCAAUGGUGUCCUCUUAAAACAGAAACCAGAAAUUCAUAUAGUGAAAUUUAAAACACAUUCACACUUCCAUUUUUUCGUACCCGUAUAUUAUAAGUUGCUUGUAUCAUAUGAUUUAUAGAAGAAAUCGGAAAUCAAAACCUUAUAAUUCCACGUAGGUAUAAAUUUAUCAGAUAUUUGCAAAACACACUUUGUUGAUACAAAUCCAAACUCUGGUUAUGGUCCAAUUCAGUGUACUUUCAAAUUUGAAAUUUUCAGAUAAGGCAUUCAGAAUUCACUUAGUCAGUUUUAAUCCAUUUUGAGUUAAGCACGUAUUUACAUCUAUAGGAAAACACAUACCGGUUAUCAUAAUGUCACACACUUGAUAAGAAUAAUGAAAAGUAAGCAACAGUGUUUCAAAAUUCCCAAAAUACAUUAUUCUUUCAGGAGAGAUUUGCAUCUGUGUAAAGAGCUAAUGCAUUAGUCUCUUUAUUGAAAAGAAAGCUUAAUUUUCUGUAGUAUUCUGUAAA